rnacentral:rRNA from 1 species
CGAGUCUUAACUGGGCGUUAAGUUGCAGGGUAUAGACCCGAAACCCGGUGAUCUAGCCAUGGGCAGGUUGAAGGUUGGGUAACACUAACUGGAGGACCGAACCGACUAAUGUUGAAAAAUUAGCGGAUGACUUGUGGCUGGGGGUGAAAGGCCAAUCAAACCGGGAGAUAGCUGGUUCUCCCCGAAAGCUAUUUAGGUAGCGCCUCGUGAACUCAUCUUCGGGGGUAGAGCACUGUUUCGGCUAGGGGGUCAUCCCGACUUACCAACCCGAUGCAAACUACGAAUACCGAAGAAUGUUAUCACGGGAGACACACGGCGGGUGCUAACGUCCGUCGUGAAGAGGGAAACAACCCAGACCGCCAGCUAAGGUCCCAAAGUCAUGGUUAAGUGGGAAACGAUGUGGGAAGGCCCAGACAGCCAGGAUGUUGGCUUAGAAGCAGCCAUCAUUUAAAGAAAGCGUAAUAGCUCACUGGUCGAGUCGGCCUGCGCGGAAGAUGUAACGGGGCUAAACCAUGCACCGAAGCUGCGGCAGCGACGCUUAUGCGUUGUUGGGUAGGGGAGCGUUCUGUAAGCCGUUGAAGGUGGCCUGUGAGGGCUGCUGGAGGUAUCAGAAGUGCGAAUGCUGACAUAAGUAACGAUAAUGCGGGUGAAAAACCCGCACGCCGGAAGACCAAGGGUUCCUGUCCAACGUUAAUCGGGGCAGGGUGAGUCGACCCCUAAGGCGAGGCCGAAAGGCGUAGUCGAUGGGAAACAGGUUAAUAUUCCUGUACUUGGUGUUACUG